rnacentral:rRNA from 1 species
AACGAACGCUGGCGGCAGGCUUAACACAUGCAAGUCGAGCGCCUCGCAAGAGGAGCGGCAGACGGGUGAGUAACGCGUGGGAAUCUACCCAUCUCUACGGAACAACUCCGGGAAACUGGA